rnacentral:rRNA from 1 species
UGGCCUACGGGAGGCAGCAGUGGGGAAUAUUGCGCAAUGGACGUAAGUCUGACGCAGCAACGCCGCGUGGAUGACGAAGGCUUUCGGGUCGUAAAGUCCUUUAGAUGGUGAAGAACCGGUAUGGGAGUAACUGUCCAUGCCCUGACGGUAGCCAUAGAAUAAGCUCCGGCUAAAUCCGUGCCAGCAGCCGCGGUA